CUGAUUCGUAAUCAGUAGGUCGGGGGUUCGAAUCCCCCAUUUAGCUCCA
rnacentral:tRNA from 1 species